CUACGUGCCAGCAGCCGCGGUAAUACGGAAGGUCCGGGCGUUAUCCGGAUUUAUUGGGUUUAAAGGGAGUGUAGGCGGUCUGUUAAGCGUGUUGUGAAAUUUAGGUGCUCAACAUUUAACUUGCAGCGCGAACUGUCAGACUUGAGUACACGCAGCGCAGGCGGAAUUCAUGGUGUAGCGGUGAAAUGCUUAGAUAUCAUGAGGAACUCCGAUCGCGAAGGCAGCCUGCGGGAGUGUUACUGACGCUUAAGCUCGAAGGUGCGGGUAUCGAACAGGAUUAGAUACCCUGGUAGUCCGCACAGUAAACGAUGGAUGCCCGCCGUUGGCGCCCUGCGCCUGCGGCCAAGCGAAAGCAUUAAGCAUCCCACCUGGGGAGUACGCCGGCAACGGUGAAACUCAAAGGAAUUGACGGGGGCCCGCACAAGCGGAGGAACAUGUGGUUUAAUUCGAUGAUACGCGAGGAACCUUACCCGGGCUUGAAUUGCAGUCGCUGCCCACAGAGA
rnacentral:rRNA from 1 species